rnacentral:rRNA from 1 species
AGUGAACGCUGGCGGUAGGCCUAACACAUGCCAGUCGAACGGCAGCACAGUAAGAGCUUGCUCUUACGGGUGGCGAGUGGCGGACGGGUGAGGAAUACAUCGGAAUCUACUUUUUCGUGGGGGAUAACGUAGGGAAACUUACGCUAAUACCGCAUACGACCUACGGGUGAAAGCAGGGGAUCUUCGGACCUUGCGCGAUUGAAUGAGCCGAUGUCGGAUUAGCUAGUUGGCGGGGUAAAGGCCCACCAAGGCGACGAUCCGUAGCUGGUCUGAGAGGAUGAUCAGCCACACUGGAACUGAGACGCGGCCCAGACUCCUACGGGAGGCAGCAGUGGGGAAUAUUGGACAAUGGGCGCAAGCCUGAUCCAGCCAUACCGCGUGGGUGAAGAAGGCCUUCGGGUUGUAAAGCCCUUUUGUUGGGAAAGAAAAGCAGCAGGUUAAUACCCCGCUGUUCUGGCGGUACCCAAAGAAUAAGCACCGGCUAACUUCGUG